AUGUUAGCGGCAGAUCGGUGAGUAGCACGUGGGUAACCUGCCUGUAAGACUGGGAUAACUCCGGGAAACCGGAGCUAAUACCGGAUAGUUCCUUGAACCGCAUGGUUCAAGGAUGAAAGACGGUUUCGGCUGUCACUUACAGAUGGACCCGCGGCGCAUUAGCUAGUUGGUGGGGUAAUGGCUCACCAAGGCGACGAUGCGUAGCCGACCUGAGAGGGUGAUCGGCCACACUGGGACUGAGACACGGCCCAGACUCCUACGGGAGGCAGCAGUAGGGAAUCUUCCGCAAUGGACGAAAGUCUGACGGAGCAACGCCGCGUGAGUGAUGAAGGUUUUCGGAUCGUAAAGCUCUGUUGUUAGGGAAGAACAAGUGCGAGAGUAACUGCUCGCACCUUGACGGUACCUAACCAGAAAGCCACGGCUAACUACGUGCCAGCAGCCGCGGUAAUACGUAGGUGGCAAGCGUUGUCCGGAAUUAUUGGGCGUAAAGGGCUCGCAGGCGGUUUCUUAAGUCUGAUGUGAAAGCCCCCGGCUCAACCGGGGAGGGUCAUUGGAAACUGGGAAACUUGAGUGCAGAAGAGGAGAGUGGAAUUCCACGUGUAGCGGUGAAAUGCGUAGAGAUGUGGAGGAACACCAGUGGCGAAGGCGACUCUCUGGUCUGUAACUGACGCUGAGGAGCGAAAGCGUGGGGAGCGAACAGGAUUAGAUACCCUGGUAGUCCACGCCGUAAACGAUGAGUGCUAAGUGUUAGGGGGUUUCCGCCCCUUAGUGCUGCAGCUAACGCAUUAAGCACUCCGCCUGGGGAGUACGGUCGCAAGACUGAAACUCAAAGGAAUUGACGGGGGCCCGCACAAGCGGUGGAGCAUGUGGUUUAAUUCGAAGCAACGCGAAGAACCUUACCAGGUCUUGACAUCCUCUGACAACCCUAGAGAUAGGGCUUUCCCUUCGGGGACAGAGUGACAGGUGGUGCAUGGUUGUCGUCAGCUCGUGUCGUGAGAUGUUGGGUUAAGUCCCGCAACGAGCGCAACCCUUGAUCUUAGUUGCCAGCAUUUAGUUGGGCACUCUAAGGUGACUGCCGGUGACAAACCGGAGGAAGGUGGGGAUGACGUCAAAUCAUCAUGCCCCUUAUGACCUGGGCUACACACGUGCUACAAUGGACAGAACAAAGGGCUGCGAGACCGCAAGGUUUAGCCAAUCCCAUAAAUCUGUUUUCAGUUCGGAUCGCAGUGUGCAACUCGAGUGCCAGAAGAACCAAUGUCGUAACAUGGUAACCAAGUAGUAACAAGGUAACCAGGUCGUAACAAGGUAACCAAGUCGUAACAACGUAACCAAGUCGUAACACGGUAAUCAUGUCGUAA
rnacentral:rRNA from 1 species